UGCAUUGCAGGACUGAAGACCCAUUUUCUUGUUUGCUGUCAGUUGAGGGCUGUUCCCAGCUGCUAGAGGCUUCCUACAUGUCUUGGCUUAUGGCCUUUUCCUCCAUCUUCAACAUCAGCAAUGGUCUUCAGUAAAUAGAGGUAGGCUGGACCUCAGUGGGCGACAGCUCUGGAUAUGACAAGAAGGAUGAAACUCCUCAAUCCUAUCUAAGAUUUGUAAGCCUCAGGCUAUUGCAGUGCCUGCUUUGUCGGUUCUCCAGUGGGAAUCUGCAUCGUCAUUUAAGAGACCAGCUCAAGAGACUGUCCUGCUCUACUCAGAAAGUCUCAUCAUGUCUGUGAAAGCACAGAAGUCAGCAUAUUGCCAUUCUAACACAGCAAAGAAGAAGGGGCAGCUCAUCUCUAGGAAGAAGAAUGACAAGAUUUCACAUGUCAAGGUCCACUGCCAAGCCCUCAGGUCCCCUGCUUGGGCGCUUGAAAACACAGUUCCAAAGUGACGACACUGAACAUAUUUAAGCGGAACUGGGAACAUUGAACAGGACUUCUGCUCUCUUCUGCCUUCCUCUUUCUUCCUUGGGAUCUUCAGGGCAAACCCCAAAAGUCCUGUCAGCAUGGGACCUCCUGCUCAGCUUCUCUUCCUCCUCCUGCUUCUCCAGUCUCCAGUUUCCUGCAGGAGAGGAGAUCGACUCCAUCACCUGGCUUCACAACGGAACAUCUAUCAUCUACAUACAGCCAAAUGAAGCAUGAACCAUGAUGACUGCUCCAAAAUGGAAAGAUAGACUGAAGGUCACCAAGUCCUACUCCUUGCAGGUCAGCAACCUGACGAUGGAAGACACAGGAUCUUAUAGCGUCCAAAUAGUUACAAAGACCUCUACAGUGUUUUCCAGUUACACUCUGAGGAUCAUCAGUGAGUAAGGGCAUAGAGGACCAGUUCCCUACUGGUAAGGGUGAAUAGGGCCAUCCACUAAGCCUGGGGGUGGGGGCUAGGUGACCUCAGUAAAGGUUGUCCCUUUGUGUCACUCCUGUGACCAGUCUAGAACCUCUCCCAAGCAGAUCUUUUUCUUUCCUUUUCUUAUUCUUUUUUGUCCUGUUUCAUUACCAGCAGAUUCUGGCUGAUGGUUGUGGUUGUGGCUGAUUGAAAACCAUCACAAAACUUGCUCCUUCCUCCAUUCAGCCCCUGCAAGGCUGGAAAAGGAAGAAUCAGGAAUCUUUUAUCUGAAGGGGUCUGGAUUCCUUGCUGUGUUCUCUCCCCUUUAUUCUCUGGGUCCUUUCCUCCCGGGAUGGCCUAGUAAGGCUCGUUAUUGCUGUUUAUAUCUCUUAAACUAUUAAAACCAUUGCUUUAAGUAGGGCGGCUGCGAAGGCCUCACAUUACAGUGGAUUCUGUCAUCUUUGAGAAUGGGACCUGUCACGCCACCUUGAGGUGUUCUGUGGAGGAAGGAGGAGAGAAUGUUAUAUAUGGGUGGACAUCAAUGGGACCAGGAGCUACUGUGUCCCAGGGAGGAUCCACCCUCAAUGACUCCUGGAGCCUUGAUGAUCUGGAUUGGACCUACGCCUGUGCAGCUAUGAAUCUUGUUAGCAAUAGCACCUCCAGGCUCAUCUUUGCUAAGCAGCUUUGUGCAGGUUCCAAGGCAGCUGCAGGCACUUACUGCCCACUGACAUGGAUUCUGCUGGGGAAGGGACUUCUUCUUCUCAUGUUCCUGGCGGUACUAGGAACUUGGCACAUCCAGACACAGGUGCUCAGCAAACCCAUUAUGUCUAACUCAGGGCAAUGAAGGCCACCAGUGCCCCAGGAGAGCCUGGAUGAGGCCAUCACUUCUCUGUUGCUCACUUAAAUUACCUUCCUGACCUGUACCCUUUCAAGCUGUAGUACUAUGGAUUGUCAAAGACCAAUGGGAUAAAAUUUCAUAUCUUGCAUUUGUGAGUCCAUGUGCACAAUGAGGAAGUUUGGACAAAAAGGGAAACAAUAACUGUAUCAAUACCAUAUGUUAUCUAUUUUAAGGGAAAUAUUCCCAAUAAUUUAAGUUUUCUGAAAUCAAGAUGAGUCAUAGUAUUAAUGUGUAUAGCUCAAAGGGAUAGUGUAUUUUUCUCCUGAAAUGCUGUUAUUAAAAUAA